GGGAAGGUAGCUUAACUGGUUAAAGCGUUCGGCUCAUAUCCGAGAGAUUGCGGGUUCAAAUCCCGCCCUUGCUACCA
rnacentral:tRNA from 1 species